UAUAUUUUGGUGUAUGAAGCACGGGAGUUUUUGAUACUCCAGGAAUGGUUUAACUCCAUUAAAUAUAA
rnacentral:tRNA from 1 species